rnacentral:rRNA from 1 species
UACGAAGGGGGCUAGCGUUGUUCGGAAUUACUGGGCGUAAAGCGCACGUAGGCGGACUACUAAGUCAGGGGUGAAAUCCCGGGGCUCAACCCCGGAACUGCCUUUGAUACUGAUAGUCUCGAGUCCGGAAGAGGUGAGUGGAAUUCCGAGUGUAGAGGUGAAAUUCGUAGAUAUUCGGAGGAACACCAGUGGCGAAGGCGGCUCACUGGCCCGAUACUGACGCUGAGGCACGAAAGCGUGGGGAGCAAACAGG